rnacentral:rRNA from 1 species
AACGAACGCUGGCGGCAGGCUUAACACAUGCAAGUCGAACGGGUGCAGCAAUGCAUCAGUGGCGAACGGGUGAGUAACACGUGGGUGACCUGCCCUCAGCUCUGGGAUAAGCCUGGGAAACCGGGUCUAAUACUGGAUAUGACUCCAUGACGCAUGUUGUGGGGUGGAAAGCCUUGUGCGGCUGAGGAUGGGCCCGCGGCCUAUCAGCUUGUUGGGGGGUGAUGGCCUACCAAGGCGACGACGGGUAGCCGGCCUGAGAGGGCGACCGGCCACACUGGGACUGAGACACGGCCCAGACUCCUACGGGAGGCAGCAGUGGGAAUCUUGCGCAAUGGGCGAAAGCCUGACGCAGCGACGCCGCGUGAGGAUGACGGCUGGU